GAGGAAAAGAAAAGAGGUAUAGCUUCAAGUUAGAGCUAUAUAGUAGGUCAGUUGUCAGUUAGUUCCUGCCCUUGAUUUCUUAGUUGUUAAAGAG